ensembl:lncRNA
CUUGCAGCCCAUGGCAUUUAAUUAGGGGGGACGGUUUUAUACAUUUGUUAGAUAAUUACACUACUUGACACAGAUAAUGACAUGAUACAGCAAUGGAUAAACCAAAAGGGCCUAGCUUAUGGAUACAAACUAACGAGGAACAAAUAAGUAGGAUGUUGGCUACAGAUGUCAACAACUGUAUGUGGGCCUCUGCUUCUGGGGGAACUCGGAAUGGGCAGUCUACUUCUUAGCAGGAACCACAUUUGAGUAAACGAUUUCCUUGUAUUUAAAUCAUGCUUGAUCAUCACUUAUUAAUUAGGCUUGCUCUGGGGAACCCCCUGGCUCAAAAAAGGUUAAUUCCGCCCCCGAAUAGUAUAUGCAUUUGAUCGUUGACUCCCUUGACGCUUUCUGAAAGCCUGUUAGUAUUUAUGCUGCAUAACACAUCCGCCCCAUCAUCCACACGCUCCAUGUCUGGAACUCGCAAACAAAGUCGUUAAAAGGCUUUAAGAUAACGAACAGCACUUAUACAUUGUGCUUCCAUCUCCAGCAUCGUCUUAAGCCAACUUGUUCAAAAGGUAUCUUUAUAUCAAUGUUCCAACAGACAUUUCAAAUUCCGUGCUUUCACGAGGUGACAUUUCCUCGAGGAACCGGUAAUUUUCUAUGAGAGGUGGGAUUGAACCGACAACCCCUGCCUGAUAACACGUCGCACUGUACCGAGAUGUCGUGUAGGCUGCCUUGAUCCUCUUAAAGUUGAUACGGUGCGUCUAGAACCGCCGUAGUCUGGUUUGGUCCAUGACUCAGGUCUGCCACACGGAGAGGGGACUAUGAAAAUCCUCUGGUUUGGAGCGGACCAUGAAGCUGUAUCGUGUUUCCCCACAAAUGGAUGCCAUGGGAUUACACCGUCUCUUGAUGUGACAUCGACCACACAGUCUCUCAUGUCGGUCUUUUUAACCGGCCCCGAAACACUCACAAAUAAAACGAGGCUCCUGGAGGGAUUUUGAAAAUGAAGAGGAAGGCUACUUUGCUGAAAUAUAUUUAGCAAAGCUGCCGUGAAGCAAGCGGGAACGAGGUUACGAAGCCAGGGGAGUGUUACUAACGAGGCUCGCGCAGGUGUGCAUGUGUCGCGGUGCGGGUGUGGAUGAGUGAACGACAAGCAGACGCAGAGCCACGGUGAGUUUGGGUUCAUUCAAAGUCCUUGGCGGAUGCAUCUCCAAAGGCUCAAGGUAAAUGAGUCAAUUUAAAUACAAAUCCGGGUCGGAGCAGGUCACCAUCAUAAUUGUCCCGGUAAUUAGAUUCACUCCGCGAGUCUCUGGCUUGUGUCACUCCCCUCACUGCAGACAUACGGCGCAACUCCGCGGCCCGGGAAGGACGGGCCGAAAAUACACCGUUAGCCUCCGGAGAGCGGGGUCAACCGGUCAAGAAGAGGAAUUCUCUUGGUGGGAUAGUGGACUGCAGCACUACGUGGCUCCACACUUCCCAUAAUUCAUUCCAAUUUGAGCAUCACCACCACCAGCCCCACCACCACCAACAAAGGCACCAAGAGGCUUUUUUAUAAACGCAGCUAUCAACUUGCAUCCAGCCAUGCCUUUCAAAACGGAAGAAGCAUCUUUUGUGGACUAAAAUGCUCCAAAUGUCACAGAAAAACAGUUUUGUCCUUCAAGAGUUUCACAAGACGUUUGUGAUAUCUCAUGUAGGUCCUGUCGGGGCUUCUUUAGCACAAAGAAAGCCACCCUAGUCGCUGGAGCAAUAGCCAAGAGGAUACAUCGUGCAUCCAUGCAAUGCCUAAUGAAAUCUUUUGUGUAUGGGUGGAAAAGGGUUUGAGACGAUGCACACAUCCUCUUCAUCUUUCUGGAUGGUGCUUAGGAAAAACUACAGAGGGGUCCCUCUUCUGCUGCUG